rnacentral:rRNA from 1 species
GAUGAACGCUGGCGGCGUGCCUAAUGCAUGCAAGUCGAGCGAACAGAUGAGGAGCUUGCUCCUCUGACGUUAGCGGCGGACGGGUGAGUAACACGUGGAUAACCUACCUAUAAGACUGGGAUAACUUCGGGAAACCGGAGCUAAUACCGGAUAAUAUAUUGAACCGCAUGGUUCAAUAGUGAAAGACGGUUUUGCUGUCACUUAUAGAUGGAUCCGCGCCGCAUUAGCUAGUUGGUAAGGUAACGGCUUACCAAGGCGACGAUGCGUAGCCGACCUGAGAGGGUGAUCGGCCACACUGGAACUGAGACACGGUCCAGACUCCUACGGGAGGCAGCAGUAGGGAAUCUUCCGCAAUGGGCGAAAGCCUGACGGAGCAACGCCGCGUGAGUGAUGAAGGUCUUCGGAUCGUAAAACUCUGUUAUUAGGGAAGAACAAAUGUGUAAGUAACUAUGCACGUCUUGACGGUACCUAAUCAGAAAGCCACGGCUAACUACGUG